rnacentral:rRNA from 1 species
AUGUUUGACACAAAAUCUUUGAAUGAUGAGCAUGAUUGCAAUGUUGUUAGUAUGAACUCCUUGAGUAUCCAUGGUACUAAUGAUGAUUGCACUAGUUAUGAUGAAAAUAUCUCCUAUAAGCAUGUCAAUUUUUGUGGAGUGCAUUGGGAUUGCAAGUAUACACCAAAUAAGGAAGAUAGAUAUUGCAAGAGGCAUAAGUCCUUAGAAACUAAAUUAUUGCAAGAAAGUCUUGAUGAUUGCGCUGAAAGAUUGAAUAUUUUUCGCACCCCUUGUGAACUUUGCAAUGAACAUGGUCAUUUAAAGCUUCAAUGUUAUUUGUUUCAUGAUCAAGUCGUGUCCAAAUAUUGUGAUAAUUUGAUUACCCUUGAGCAUCAUAAAGAGCUUAGUCUUCUUUUGGGUUAUGAAGAAAUGAAACGUAUAACUGAGGGUAUUCCAAAAUUUAAUCUUGAUAGAAUUCUUGAUUUUGAUCUAGAGAAGAUUUAUAUGUAUUGUGCGGUGAAUUGCAUUGAAAAUCCUUAUAUUGCCAACUACAUAAAGAAAAGAAAAGAAAUAGAAGAUGAAGAGAAUACUAAUGAAAGGGAAAAGACUUCCCAAUAUCCUCCUAUUAUUUCUUAUGAUGAAUCAGGUAACGAGGAGGAGCCUUCUAUUCAACCAAAUCUCAUUAAUAAGGAGCUCCAAAAGGAGGAUUGA